rnacentral:rRNA from 1 species
UAAGACAGAGGGGGCAAGCGUUGCUCGGAAUUACUGGGCGUAAAGGGCGCGUAGGCGGGAUGGCAAGUCGGUCGUGAAAUCCCUGGGCUCAACUCAGGGGGGUCGGCCGAUACUGCCGUUCUUGAGGGAUGCAGAGGAGACUGGAAUUCCCGGUGUAGCGGUGAAAUGUGUAGAGAUCGGGAGGAACACCGGUGGCGAAGGCGGGUCUCUGGGCAUUCCCUGACGCUGAGGCGCGAAAGCGUGGGGAGCAAACGG